rnacentral:sRNA from 1 species
AAUUUAGCGGCUUGAUUCCCCCAUUCUCAUUAUUCAAGCUGGAAAAUGGGCAGCUCCGUGGAUGGGGACAAGUGUUUGGAGCACUUGGCGCACGCUUGCGCGGCUUUCAAAUUUAGCGUAUUAACUCAUUAAAUGUUCAAAAGCUCAUUGCCUGCGAAAUGUGCACACUUUUCUGUGAGUGCGAGCGAGGGUGUGAAAUAUGCACAAGUAUAUGACACUUUGGCACCGAGGGGAAGACAGUUUUAAUACCGCUUAAUGGGCAAUCGGGCGGAAGAAGCUUUAAAUAAAUAGAAUUCCUUAUACUCCUAACAAUAUCAACAUUUUUAAUUAAAUUUAUAAUGACCAUGGAACGCUCGGGGACCUAACAAUGUAGUGGCUUAACUGGGCCUUAUUUCAACACCCUCAACCGCACCGAGUGACCGCUGGCAGCAGUUGGCGUUACGCAUACGCCACGUUGCAUGCGUCUUAAAUAUUUGAUGGCGGAAAUCUGGGGCCCGGCAAAAAUGACAGCUGCGUGUUGAAAAUAAUUAAGGCGCAAUUAUAAUGACCCUGGCCACGAACCGCAGGCACUCACCACCACCCAUCAGCACCGUUGAAGCCACCCCCAUCCGCUCGCCUGUUGGCAUUGCAAUGUGUUGCAUGCAACACUAGACUUUGUGGCGUCGCCAACAAUGACGAAAGCAAUCCAUGGCCAUCGAGCUUGUGCGCUCUGGCAGGUUCUCAUUCCACUACUUAUGCAAAUUGAUGCGAAAUGUGGGCUAAGAUUUAUGCUUAAAUCUUUGGAAGGACAUUCUGCAAAUAUUUGCCCGAAGAAAUAAUUCUAAUAUUCUUAUUCUCUUUGCGGGAAACACGUUUUACUCAAUUUGUUGUUGGACAGCAAUACACGAUCACCGACGACAUCCUUUAAAUAAAUA